AUGCUGACCAUAUGCUGCGGAGUUCGUUUCACAGUUCGGCCGACUUCAUGUUAUUCAGAAUUGAACCGUCUCAAGCUACAAUAUACACUGAUACCAUGUCAUCCAUGGAACAUAGUUUUUUGCUUAUGUUACCAUAUGAUUCAUAUUUCUUGUAUCCAUCAAUUUGUUGUGACAGAAUUCAUUAUGCCUUGGGAGACAAGCAAAGCAUCAAAUCAAACCCCUAACGGUCACUUCCACACGACUACAGCUCCUGCUCAUAUAUCAUUUCUAAAUUCAAAACUGAGAUUGUUUGUAUGUAGACAAUUUUGA